UACGUAGGGACCAAGCGUUGUUCGGAUUUACUGGGCGUAAAGGGCGCGUAGGCGGCAAUUCAAGUCAUCUGUGAAAUCUCCGGGCUUAACCCGGAACGGUCAGGUGAUACUGUUUUGCUAGAGUGCGGAAGGGGCAAUCGGAAUUCUCGGUGUAGCGGUGAAAUGCGUAGAUAUCGAGAGGAACACCAGAGGUGAAGACGGGUUGCUGGGCCGACACUGACGCUGAGGCGCGAAAGCUAGGGGAGCGAACGGG
rnacentral:rRNA from 1 species